ACCUACGGGGGGCAGCAGUGGGGAAUAUUGGACAAUGGGCGCAAGCCUGAUCCAGCAAUGCCGCGUGUGUGAAGAAGGCCUGCGGGUUGUAAAGCACUUUCAGUGGGGAAGAACAGGUUCGGGUCAAUACCCCGGAGCCCUGACGUUACCCACAGAAGAAGCACCGGCUAACUCCGUGCCAGCAGCCGCGGUAAUACGGAGGGUGCAAGCGUUAAUCGGGAUCACUGGGCGUAAAGCGCACGUAGGCGGCACGUUAAGUCAGAUGUGAAGCCCCUGGGCUCAACCUGGGAAUGGCAUUUGAUACUAGCGCGCUCGAGUCUGAUAGAGGGGGGUGGAAUUCCAGGUGUAGCGGUGAAAUGCGUAGAUAUCUGGAGGAACACCGGUGGCGAAGGCGGCCCCCUGGAUCAUGACUGACGCUGAGGUGCGAAAGCGUGGGUAGCAAACAGGAUUAGAUACCCUGGUAGUCGC
rnacentral:rRNA from 1 species